UCCAUGUUUGUGUUUGGCAACAGGAUAGAAAAAGUAUUCAUAACUGUGUUGUUUAUAAAAACAGUAGCUCAGUGUGUGUUGUGACCAGCUCUAUUGUUUCCUUCCCAGGUGGGAGUCAAGGGGAACCCUCAAGGUUUCAACAGGAAGCUUGACUGUGAUGUAAUAGUGGCAGAGGUGCAUUCCACCAGCCUCGGGAACAAGGAAGAUUGAGCUGUUUGGCCGCCCUCACAAUCUGCAGCCCAACUGUUCAAGGUCGAGACCUCCUGACCAGAAGAGCAAGAAUCCUCUUUGGCCGGAGGCACUACAGUAAUGCUAACUGAUUGGGACUCGCCAGCACUGGCUGCCUGCAAAACCGUCUCUUGCCUCAGUCUCCACCACCGUUCCCGUCUGACCCCCAGGGCAGCAUGGUCUACGCUGGGGGCAACUGCGGAAGAGGUGACCCUCUCUUCUGCAUCGCGAACAGCGGUGAGGAUCUAUGCAGUUCCUAGCCAGGUGGCCGAUCUCCAAACAUUGUCAGCACAUCAUGUCCAUACAGUUCUCCUCUGUGUGUCUCCGACCCCAACACAGAUGACAGGAGCGAGGCUGCUCUUGAUAAAACAGGUAGCCUGUACUGCUGCAAAUGUCGAAGAUGCGGAUCAUCACAAUCCUGCGGUUGUUCCUACAAAGUGGUUCAAAGGAGUAGGGGCGCAAGGUGGCAUGACUAACGUUCUCCCUACACAUAUUCAAGUCUUACAGUAUUCCCCCUUGGUCAGCAGCAUGAGAUUGAAGAACGAUGACGGUCCAUUGUGUUGGAUGCAGACCACAUCGUUAACAGUGAGGCCCAAGAGUCCUAAGACAACCUCCUGAAUGAAAACAACUCACUUGAGAAAUUUUCUGUCAUCCUCCUGGUUCCUCCAACAGAAGCAAAGAGUAUUCUUCAGGAUAGUCUGCAUCCCCAGAACCAUCAUCCUUGCCAUGGAAGUCAUUGUUUUUUCAAAUCCUCAGAGCUGUUGACAUGGGAGGGAGAGCUGGAUUAACUAAGAAAACUACUAAAAAUAAAAACUCCACGUCACCCUACAGGGACGGCGGACAAGCCACCUGAAACCCUGGAAACCCUUCAAAUUAGGCUCCAUGGGCUACCCAAAAAUAAAAUAAACUCCUACCAGGAAGCAAAGCUUUGCCCCAAGAAAACCACACACAGUCCUGUA